CCGCCGCCUGUCAAUCGUAUGGCGCUGUACGCGACCAGGAAGAACCACAGGAAAAACAUAGCUUCGCAUCGCGAUGAUGUAUUUGGAGGUUCAUCUUCCAACAUCCAUAUGAUGAACUGGUCAAUUUCCAUUGUUCGAACCAGUCAUAGGCGCACGCUUUCAAAGACAGUGUUUACUGAAAAGUUUCAACAGGUGUCAGUGUGCAGGUUCGUGCACUGACCAGCGAAUUUUGCCUAGAGCGGGUCAAACCUUCAGAUUUCCUCAUCUUGCUAUCCGAGGAGCUUGGCUCGAACUUGAUCUUCAAGAACAACGGAUACUUUUGUCCAGGAGCAUCCAGUGCUCACUAUUGCAUUAUUGUGACGCGAUCAGGUAUAACCUGGCUAAAGCGUAUUGCGAUAAACAAUCUUUUUGUAUAUCGAAGAAAGAUAGGCUCUAUUAUUUCUUUGUUGUGUACAAUUUUGGUGGGAAUAAGGAAAAGAUGAAAGGAAAGAUUGGGAGCAUUAUUGGCGUACGGGUGGUGCUCCGCUGACGCAAGAGCGUUCCAUUCAUAACCUUCUAAUGAAUUUUUGUAAAACCAGAAACCAUGUCGGCGUAAGAUUUAUUUGUACGGUAUAUCCAUGUAUAUCUAUAAUAUGUAUAUAGAUAAUGCAUGUACAGAUGCGAAUGUACUAAUGAACCGUCAAAGACUAGAAAAGCUGUGUGAAAUAGUGAACUAUGAUCAGAAGAACGGCCGUGAGAAAUGAAAAAAAAAAUUUUACGAAAAUAAGUUAAUUUGUUUUUCCCCUCUUUUCCUAAAAAUACAGUAAAGUGAGCAUGAGUUUUAUGACUACAUGUUGACCAUCGAGAAAAGCAUCCGAAGAAACGCAGCUAAACAGGUCUUAA